GGCUUGUUGGUCUAGGGUAUGAUUCUCGCUUAGGGUGCGAGAGGUCCCGGGUUCAAAUCCCAGACAAGCCC
rnacentral:tRNA from 1 species